GCAAGUCGAGGGGCAGCAUUUCUAGCUUGCUAGAAGAUGGCGACCGGCGCACGGGUGCGUAACGCGUAUACAAUCUACCUAUUACUGAGGGAUAGCCCGAAGAAAUUUGGAUUAAUACCGCAUAACAAUAUUUUAUCGCAUGGUAAGAUAUUUAAAACUCCGGUGGUAUAAGAUGGGCAUGCGUAGCAUUAGUUAGUUGGUGAGGUAAUGGCUCACCAAGACAAUGAUGCUUAGGGGGUCUGAGAGGAUAGUC
rnacentral:rRNA from 1 species